GCGGCGUGCCUAAUACAUGCAAGUCGAGCGAACGGACGAGAAGCUUGCUUCUCUGAUGUUAGCGGCGGACGGGUGAGUAACACGUGGAUAACCUACCUAUAAGACUGGGAUAACUUCGGGAAACCGGAGCUAAUACCGGAUAAUAUUUUGAACCGCAUGGUUCAAAAGUGAAAGACGGUCUUGCUGUCACUUAUAGAUGGAUCCGCGCUGCAUUAGCUAGUUGGUAAGGUAACGGCUUACCAAGGCAACGAUGCAUAGCCGACCUGAGAGGGUGAUCGGCCACACUGGAACUGAGACACGGUCCAGACUCCUACGGGAGGCAGCAGUAGGGAAUCUUCCGCAAUGGGCGAAAGCCUGACGGAGCAACGCCGCGUGAGUGAUGAAGGUCUUCGGAUCGUAAAACUCUGUUAUUAGGGAAGAACAUAUGUGUAAGUAACUGUGCACAUCUUGACGGUACCUAAUCAGAAAGCCACGGCUAACUACGUGCCAGCAGCCGCGGUAAUACGUAGGUGGCAAGCGUUAUCCGGAAUUAUUGGGCGUAAAGCGCGCGUAGGCGGUUUUUUAAGUCUGAUGUGAAAGCCCACGGCUCAACCGUGGAGGGUCAUUGGAAACUGGAAAACUUGAGUGCAGAAGAGGAAAGUGGAAUUCCAUGUGUAGCGGUGAAAUGCGCAGAGAUAUGGAGGAACACCAGUGGCGAAGGCGACUUUCUGGUCUGUAACUGACGCUGAUGUGCGAAAGCGUGGGGAUCAAACAGGAUUAGAUACCCUGGUAGUCCACGCCAUAAACGAUGAGUGCUAAGUGUUAGGGGGUUUCCGCCCCUUAGUGCUGCAGCUAACGCAUUAAGCACUCCGCCUGGGGAGUACGACCGCAAGGUUGAAACUCAAAGGAAUUGACGGGGACCCGCACAAGCGGUGGAGCAUGUGGUUUAAUUCGAAGCAACGCGAAGAACCUUACCAAAUCUUGACAUCCUUUGACAGCUCUAGAGAUAGAGCCUUCCCCUUCGGGGGACAAAGUGACAGGUGGUGCAUGGUUGUCGUCAGCUCGUGUCGUGAGAUGUUGGGUUAAGUCCCGCAACGAGCGCAACCCUUAAGCUUAGUUGCCAUCAUUAAGUUGGGCACUCUAAGUUGACUGCCGGUGACAAACCGGAGGAAGGUGGGGAUGACGUCAAAUCAUCAUGCCCCUUAUGAUUUGGGCUACACACGUGCUACAAUGGACAAUACAAAGGGCAGCGAAACCGCGAGGUCAAGCAAAUCCCAUAAAGUUGUUCUCAGUUCGGAUUGUAGUCUGCAACUCGACUACAUGAAGCUGGAAUCGCUAGUAAUCGUAGAUCAGCAUGCUACGGUGAAUACGUUCCCGGGUCUUGUACACACCGCCCGUCACACCACGAGAGUUUGUAACACCCGAAGCCGGUGGAGUAACCUUUUAGGAGCUAGCCGUCGAAGGUGGGACAAAUGAUUG
rnacentral:rRNA from 1 species